rnacentral:rRNA from 1 species
AUUGAACGCUGGCGGCAGGCCUAACACAUGCAAGUCGAGCGAGCGGCGGACGGGUGAGUAAUGUAUGGGGACUGCCCGAUAGAGGGGGGUAACUACUGGAAACGGUAGCUAAUACCGCAUACUAUCGGAUAACCCAUCAGGGAUUAGCUAGUAGGUGAGGUAAUGGCUCACCAAGGCGACGAUCCCUAGCUGGUAUGAGAGGAUGAUCAGCCACACUGGGAUGGAGACACGGCCCAGACUCCUACGGAGGCAGCAUUGGGGAAUAUUGCACAAUGGGCGCAAGCCUGAUGCAGCCAUGCCGCGGGGAUGAAGAAGGCUCGAGGGUUGUAAAGUACUUUCAGUCGGGAGGCGUUACCUACAGAAAAAGCAACGGCUAACUCCGUGCCAGCAGCCGCGGUAAUUC